GCAGACUGGGGGAGGCUAACACCCCUAGCCCUGCCUCUUCUGCCUGAGGCCCCACCUCUUCCUCCCAAGGCCGGGCCCCUGUACCGGACUCUUUAAAAGAGAAGAGGACAUGAGACUAUUCACACCACCACCACAUCUGCAUUUCUGCCAUACUCAGACAGGAUUCUAUGGAUGAACUAUUUAAAAUUGAAUAGAUGCUGUAGAAAAGGCACAACCCACAUACCCACCUCUGCUUUUACAGCCUUUUUGCCAAGAUAUAAAAAAUAUUAAGACAGCUUUGAUACAAUGCAUUUGUAUGUUGGAAUUAUUGCACCCAAAUUCAAUAAACUCUGAAUUGUCAUUGUUACUUAGA